AUAUCUGUAUCAGAGGGGUUAAUAUCUGUAUCAGAGGGGUUAAUAUCUGUAUCAGAGGUUAAUAUCUGUAUCAGAGGGGGUUAAUAUCUGUAUCAGAGGUUAAUAUCUGUAUCAGAGGGGUUAAUAUCUGUAUCAGAGGGGUUAAUAUCUGUAUCAGAGGGGUUAAUAUCUGUAUCAGAGGGGUUAAUAUCUGUAUCAGAGGGGUUAAUAUCUGUAUCAGAGGGGUUAAUAUCUGUAUCAGAGAGGUUAAUAUCUGUAUCAGAGGUUAAUAUCUGUAUCAGAGGGGUUAAUAUCUGUAUCAGAGGGGUUAAUAUCUGUAUCAGAGGGGUUAAUAUCUGUAUCAGAGGGGUUAAUAUCUGUAUCAGAGGGUUAAUAUCUGUAUCAGAGGGGGGGUUAAUAUCUGUAUCAGAGGGGGGGUUAAUAUCUGUAUC